CUACGGGUGGCUGCAGUUAGGAAUAAUCUACAAUGCGCGCAAGCGUGAUAGUUUGAGCCAGGGUGCUUUUCUAUUUGAAAAGCUUUUGCCGAAUGUAAAAAGUUCGGCGAAUAAGGACUGGGUAAGACGAGUGCCAGCCGCCGCGGUAAUACUCGCGGUCCAAGUCGCAGCCAUAUUUAUUGGGUCUAAAACAUCCGUAGCUUGUUUAAUAAGUUUCUUGUGAAAUUUUGUACCUUAAGUACAGAGCGGGCAAGAAAUACUAUUAAACUAGAGACUGGGAGACGGAAGAAGUACGUUCAAAGUAUCGGUUAAAUGAGUUAAUCUUGAGCGGACUACCAAUAGCGAAGGCAUCUUUCGAGAACAGUUCUGACAGUAAGGGAUGAAGGCCAGGGGCGCAAAGCGGAUUAGAUACCCUCGUAGUC
rnacentral:rRNA from 1 species